rnacentral:rRNA from 1 species
CCUACGGGAGGCUGCAGUGAGGAAUAUUGGUCAAUGGGCUUACGCCUGAACCAGCCAAGUCGCGUGAGGGAAGACUGCCCUAUGGGUUGUAAACCUCUUUUGUCAGGGAGCAAUUGGCGCUACGUGUAGCGUUAUCGAGAGUACCUGAAGAAAAAGCAUCGGCUAACUCCGUGCCAGCAGCCGCGGUAAUACGGAGGAUGCGAGCGUUAUCCGGAUUUAUUGGGUUUAAAGGGUGCGUAGGCGGAAUGCCAAGUCAGCGGUAAAAUCGCGGGGCUCAACCUCGCUCCGCCGUUGAAACUGGCGUUCUUGAGUGGGCGAGAGGUAUGCGGAAUGCGUGGUGUAGCGGUGAAAUGCAUAGAUAUCACGCAGAACUCCGAUUGCGAAGGCAGCAUACCGGCGCCCAACUGACGCUGAAGCACGAAAGCGUGGGUAGCGAACAGGAUUAGAUACCCGUGUAGUC